rnacentral:rRNA from 1 species
UACGUAGGGACCAAGCGUUGUUCGGAUUUACUGGGCGUAAAGUGUGCGCAGGCGGCCGAGCAAGUCGAGUGUGAAAGCCCCGAGCUUAACUUGGGAACUGCGCUCGAAACUACUUGGCUAGAGUGUGGCAGAGGGAGGUGGAAUUCCACGUGUAGCGGUGAAAUGCGUAGAGAUGUGGAGGAACACCGAUGGCGAAGGCAGCCUCCUGGGCCAACACUGACGCUCAUGCACGAAAGCGUGGGGAGCAAACAGG